rnacentral:rRNA from 1 species
GACGAACGCUGGCGGCGUGCCUAAUACAUGCAAGUCGAACGAGAGCGACCGGUGCUUGCACUGGUCAAUCUAGUGGCGAACGGGUGAGUAACACGUGGGUAACCUGCCCAUCAGAGGGGGAUAACAUCCGGAAACGGAUGCUAAAACCGCAUAGGUCUUCGAGCCGCAUGGCUUGAAGAGGAAAAGAGGCGCAAGCUUCUGCUGAUGGAUGGACCCGCGGUGCAUUAGCUAGUUGGUGAGGUAACGGCUCACCAAGGCUGUGAUGCAUAGCCGACCUGAGAGGGUGAUCGGCCACAUUGGGACUGAGACACGGCCCAAACUCCUACGGGAGGCAGCAGUAGGGAAUCUUCCGCAAUGGACGCAAGUCUGACGGAGCAACGCCGCGUGAGUGAAGAAGGUUUUCGGAUCGUAAAACUCUGUUGUUAGAGAAGAACAAGUGCUAGAGUAACUGUUAGCGCCUUGACGGUAUCUAACCAGAAAGCCACGGCUAACUACGUG